rnacentral:lncRNA from 1 species
AAGAGGAGAUUAGGACCCAGACAACACACUGACCAGGAACAACCCUGUGAAGAUACAGCAGGAAAGCAGCCAUCUGAAAACCAGCGAGCGAGGCCUCAGAAUAAAACUGUGCCCGGAAUUGGUUCCUUCUUGGUCUUGCUGACUUCAAGAAUGAAGCCGCAGACCCUCGUGGUGAGUGUUACAGUUCUUAAAGAUGGUGUGUCCAGAGUUUGUUCCUUCAGAUGUUCAGAUGUGUCUGGAGUUUCUUCCUUGUGGUGGGUUCAUGGUCUCACUGACUUCAGGAGUGAAGCCACAGACCUUUGCAGUGAGUGUUACAGCUCUUAAAGGUGGUGUCUCUGGAAUUGUUUGUUCCUCCCAGUGGGUUUGUGGUCUCACUGACUUCAGGAAUGAAGCUGCAGACCCUCGCAAUGAGUGUUACAGCUCAUAAAGGUAGUGUGGACCCAGAUAGUGAGUAGCAGCAAUACCGUGAUGAGUGAAAGAAGAAAGUUUCCACAGCAUGGAAAGAGACAGGAGCAAGUUGCCGCUGCUUGCUCGCGUGGCCAGCUUUUAUUCCCUUAUUUGGCCCCACCCACGUCCUGCUGAUUGGGCCAUUUUACAGAGUGCUGAUUGGUCCAUUUUUUACAGAGUGCUGAUUGGUGCAUUUACAAACCUUAAGCUAGACACAGAGUGCUGACUGGUGCAUUUUUACAGAGUGCUGAUUGGUGCAUUUACAAACCUUUAGCUAGACACAGAGUGCUGAUUGGUGCAUUUUUACAGAGUGCUGAUUGGUGCUUUUAUAAACCUUUAGCUAGACAGAGAGCGCUGAUUGGUCCGUUUUUACAGAGUGCUGAUUGGUGUGUUUACAAACCUUUAGCUAGACACAGAGCACUGAUUGGUGUGUUUACAAUCCUUUAGCUAGACAGAAAAGUUCUCCAAGUCCCCACCCGACCCAGAAGCCCAGUUGGCUUCACCUCUCAAAAUCAAUUCUGCUGACACCUUAGUCUUGGACUUCUAGCCUCCAGAAAUGUAGGAAAAUACAUUUCUGUGGUUUGAGCCACCCAGUUGGUGGUAUUUUGUUAUGGCAGCCCUAGAAAACUUAAUACAGGUAUCUUAAGGUCCAGGGACUUAUAGGUGGCAGAUCAGGAUUUAAACUAAAGCAGUCUAACUUCCAAGUUCGAGUUACUUUUGAAGCAGAUAUGUCCAUCAGGAGGCUAGAUAAGAUAUCUGGUCACAAAAAAAUAUUCAAAUCUUCAUGAUCGUUAUGUAAGUCUUCUGAGAAAAUGUUUGCUAAUGCCAUGCAAGUGGGUAAGCUCUCUUAAAUGUGCAUGUAGAAAAGAAAAGCGAGAGCCCAAUAGGAGACUCUGGAGGAACAUUUUCUUUUAAGGAGAGGAGGAAAAUCCAUGAGUGAAAUACAGAAAAAAUAAUAAAGAGUGAGAUACAAAACUGAAAAGGAAAAACUAACAUUACAAAAGCCAAAGGAGUCACUGAUAUUUAAGAAGUACUUUCUCCACAGAAGACGGACAAAUUCUGUUUCUUUCUGACAAACUUAUGACUGGAAUUGUCUCAAAAGCAGCAUUAGGGGAGUUCCCAUAAGGGAGUGCCCCAAACCCUCUGGAAAUGGGGCCAGUUGGGAUUCCAAAGAAAGAAGCACUAAACAGCAGGGUGAUCUAGGGUGAUCUGUCCAAAGCAUGUAUUAGGAGAACUUACUUGUAUGGUGCUGCAGCAUAUCCUCAUGAAAGACAGAGAAAGAAAGCAAUAAUCCAGUAGGUAUGUCUACAGUGGGAGAAUCAGAGUAUGGAGUUUGUAUGACGGUUUAAUGGCUAAGGGCCAGGGGUUGAUUGUUUCAGUGCUUUGGGCAGCAACCUAGAUAUUUGUAUCAGUUCCUAGGAAUGUUCAAAGACUAGUUUUGCAUUCAAGCCUGCUGGGAAAAAUCUGCAGCUGGCCGGGUCACAGGGCAGUCAGGGCACUCUGUGUGUUCACUUAGGAUUCAGAAGGAAAGUGGGAAAACUGGGGGACCUUACAAAUGGCCAAGAGGUAUUUGAAAAGUUGCUCAACAUUACUAAGCAGUAGGAAAAUGCAAAUCAAAACCACAAUGAGACAACACCUUAUGUCUUUCAAGAUGACUAUUUUUUAAAAAAAGUAUUGACCAGAAGACCCAAGAUGGCCAACUAAAAGCACCUAGAGGAGCUUAUCCCACUGAGAGACCAGGCCAUCAAGAAGACUGGCAUACCCUGGCAGACCUUCAGAAGGGAUACACUGAGAGGGGACAGCGAGAGGAUGUACACCCUGGGCUGAAGGGCUGAGGGAGAGGAAGCUGGGGACCCUGCAUGGCAUGGCCAACCACCAAGACUCAUUCCUGACCUUGAGCAAUUACUAGGGAAUGGAUCAGUUAAAUAGAUGUGGAGUGGCCUACUCUUGCCAGGGACCUCCAGAAUCCUGGCUGCAGGAUACUCAAUUGCACACCUGGACAUUUGAGCUGGUAGGGAGAGCUGCUUGGAGAGUUGGCAGGAACAGGACUCUAGCCUGUCCAGAGCCCAGAGGUUUUGCCAUGGGAAUGGCUACAGUGGAGCAUGGCCAAGUAUGCCUAUACCCCCAUCUCACCAUGAUCCUCUAGGUGGCUUUGGUCUUUGUUGACUGUUGAACCUUGACAGCACAGGGCUGCCUUGCCUGUGGGAUGGAGUCAUUCUGACCUUAAUGCCCCACUCUCUACCAGCCUUUGCCAGGGCCCCUACCUGGCCAUAUCUGCUUGCAGUACAGCCUCGGAUGCUCAACUGAGGCAUUUCACAGCAGCCACUGCCACAACUACUUCACUGGCAGACCCCUACCUAACCAUCAGAGAGCUUCUGCUGAUGGUCCCCCACCAGCACAAAACCACCUGCAUCCUCCCCCUAAUACUUUGAUGGUGCUCAUUCAACUGCAGCCUACUACCAAUACUUUGCUGAUGUGCAAUCAUUCAGCUUCCUCUGACUGCUUUACCUCUGCAUGUGAACAGAUGGAUCUAACACUGACUGCCCCAUCCCUGCUGGAAUACGUAAACCCCACUGUGACACUGCCUGCGACUGCAGGUGCAUGCGCAUGUGUGGACCCCACAGUGCUGCCUCCCUGCUGCCUCUGCCACAUGUGCUGAAUACCACCACACUACCACCCUGCUGCCACCAGCACAUGUGCGUGAGCACAGACCCCAAUGCCACCACCCCAACGAAGUGCUUUUGCCAGAACCACAAAUCUAAGUGUUCCUGCUAGCCGACCAGGAACACCUCAAUUCUUCCAGCUCAGGAGGUGCUCAACAUUGAGGGGCCAUAGAACAAAUGCCAUAGGCCUGGUCCCUGACCCCCAGGGUUAGAGCACACAGUCCGGGAGUGGUGAGAUGAGCCUUGGCCUCCUGAAAUGACACAAAAAGGAAGCCAGUCAACUGAACCCAAAUUAUACCAUGAUAAAGCCCUCAAAGACAUCAAAGUUGAGAAAUAACAAGCAUAAGAACUCUGGCAACUAAAAAAGCAAGAGUGUAUUAGGCCGUUUUCACACUGCUAUGAAGAAAUGCCUGAGACUUGGUAGUUUAUAAAGGAAGAGGUUUUAAUUGACAUACAUUACCACAUGGCUGGGGAGGCCUCAGGAAACUUACAAUCAUGGUGGAAGCAGGCACUUUCUUCACAAGGCAAUGAGAGAGAGAGAGAGCUUGGGAAGGAGAAACUGUUCAACACUUGUAAGACCAUCAGAUCUCAUGAGAACUCACAUACUAUCAUGAGAAAAGCAUGGAGAAACUGCCCCCAUGAUCCAAUCACCUCCCACCGUGUCCCUCCUGUGAAAUGUGGGGAUUAUAGGGAUCACAAUUCUAGAUGACAGAGUGUCUUCUUACCUUCAAACAACUGCACUAGCUCACCAGCAAUGGUUCUUAACUAGACUGAAAUGGCUGGAACAACAGAUAUAGAAUUCGGAAUCUGGAUGGCAACAAAGAUUAUUGAGAUUUAGGAGAAAGUUGAACCGAAUCCAAGGAAUCUAAUGAAUCCAGUAAAGUGAUAGAAGAGUUGAAAAGACAAAAUAGCCAGUUUAAGAAGGAACAAAACUGAACUGCUAGAGCUGGAAAGCUCACUACAAAAAUUUCACAAUACAAUCAAAAAUAUUAACACAAGAAUAGACCAAGCUGAGAAAAUAAUCUCAAAGCUCAAAGACCAGUUAUUCAAAUCAAAUCAGACAAAAGUAUAAAAGAAAAAAAAGAAUAAAAAUAAUGAUGAAAGCUCCAAGAAAUAUGGGAUAAUGUAAAAAGACCAAACCUAGGACUCAUUGGUAUCCCUGAAGGAGAGGAAGACAGAGAGCAAAUUGGAAAACAUAUUUGAGAAUAUUGUCCACAAACAUUUUCCCAACCUUGCGAGAGAGGUCAACAUUCAAAUUCAAGAAAUUCAGAGAACCCCUGUGAGAUACUAUGUAAGACAACCAGUCCCAAGACACACAGUUAUCAGAGUCUUCAAAGUCAAUCCCAAAGAAAAAUAUCAAAAAACUAGAGAUAAGAGGCAGGCCAUGUACAAAGAGAACCCCAUAAAUCUAACAGAAAACCUUUCUGAAGAAUCUGUGCAAGCCAGAAGAGAAUGAGGGCCUAUAUGCAUCAUCCUUAAAUAAAAGAAAUUUCAACCAAAAAUGUCAUAGCCACUCUAAACAAGCUGCGUAAAUGAAGGAGAAAUAGAAUAUUUUCAGACAAACAAAUGCUAAGGGUAUUUGGUACCACCAGACCUGCCUUACAAAAGGUCCUUAGGGGCGAGCUAAACAGGAAAACAAAAGACUAUUCCUGGCCACCACAAAAAUCUAUCUACAUACAUACACCAUUGACACUAUAAGCAACUAUACGAUCAAGUCUACAUAACAACCAGCUGACAACACAGCGACAGUACAAAACCCACACAUAUCAAUAUUAACCUUAAAUAUAAAUGGGCUAGACACCCCACUUAACAGUCAUAGAGUGGCAAGACCCAACUAUAUGCUGUCUUCAAAAGACCCAUCUCACAUGCAAUGACACCCAUAAGUUCAAAGUAAAGAAAUAAGGAAAAAUCUGUCAAACAAACAGUAAGCAAUAAAGAGCAGGGGCUGGUAUUCUUAUUUCAGACAAAAACAGACUUUAAAUCAGCAAUAAUCAAAAGAGAAGAGCAUUACAUAAUGAUAAAGGGUUCAAUUCAACAAGGAAAUACUGCCAUUUUUGAUUUGUGACAACAUGGACAAACCUGGAAAUCAUUAUGCUAAGUGACAUAAGACAGACAGAAAAAAACAAACAUUAUAUGUUUCCAUGUAUACAUGAAUCUUAAAUAGUCCAACUC